AAAAAAUACAAACCCUGAUUUCCGUGUCCAACAUUUGACCAUCCGUCUUAUUUAAAAAAAUAUAAAAAAAAUUAAAAAGACAAGUCACGCAUAAAAUAUUAAUCAUAUUUUAUCAUCUAACAACAAUAAAAAUACGAAUUAUAAAAAAAUUUCAUAUAAAACGGACAGUCAAAGUUGGACACAGAAAUCAGAGUUUGUCUUUUUU
rnacentral:pre_miRNA from 1 species